rnacentral:rRNA from 2 species
GGGUUGUGAGGUUAAGCGACUAAGCGUACACGGUGGAUGCCCUGGCAGUCAGAGGCGAUGAAGGACGUGCUAAUCUGCGAUAAGCGUCGGUAAGGUGAUAUGAACCGUUAUAACCGGCGAUUUCCGAAUGGGGAAACCCAGUGUGAUUCGUCACACUAUCAUUAACUGAAUCCAUAGGUUAAUGAGGCGAACCGGGGGAACUGAAACAUCUAAGUACCCCGAGGAAAAGAAAUCAACCGAGAUUCCCC